UUUUUUUUUUUGAUAGAGAUGGUGUUUCGCCCUGUUGUCCAGGCUGGUCUCAAACUUUCUGGCCUCAAGUGAUCCACCUGCCUCAGUCUCCCCAAGUGCUGGAAUUACAGUUCAAGAAGCUUCUCCCCAUCGCCUCCUAUCCACUACAUCCUGACUUGCUAAUGACUCUUCUUCUCCAGAGCGACAAUGGCCCAGGUGUACUCACCAUUUUACCAUCAGGUGAGAGGAGAUUGUGGCCUGGGUCCAGGCUGGCUGGGGAGACCUGCUGUAAAACCGAC